GAAGGCUGAAAUUACGCCUUCAUGAAGCUGGAAUUGCUAGUAAUGGCAGGUCAGCAUACUGCCGUGAAUACGUUCCCGGGCCUUGUACACACCGCCCGUCACACCAUGAGAGUUGGAAAUACCCGAAGCCAGUGAGCUAACAGUAAUGAGGCAGCAGUCGAAGGUAGAGCCAAUGAUUGGGGUGAAGUCGUAACAAGGUAGC
rnacentral:rRNA from 1 species